AGGAUGAGCUCCAUAGCAGCAACCUGAUCGUGACGCCAGCGACCUAAUCCGGAAGCGUCAGGCUCGAUGGUGAUGGGAAGUUGGACAUGGCGCCGUCAAAAAUAUCUUCAAGGACGUGAGCUCCUGGUGGCGCCACUGGAGAUCGCGAGGGGGAGGUGGGCAGAGCAGAGCUGAACUGAGCGGCUAAGCAGAAGCAGGGGAGCAGGGGAGCAGUGCGGUGCUGGCUUGAAGGCAGGUAGUAUUGGUGAGCAUUCAUGUAAACCUAUAGCAUCUUCAGGACUAAAGGCUGCAGGAUGCAACAACAAAGUACUACUAAGAUAUGUCAAUCGCUGCGCCACCAUCGACUGUGCAAAGUUUGACAGCUAUGGCUCAAUGCAAAGUUGCAGGCUAGCAGGGAUUCAUUUUGAUUGAACUACGGGAGUUCACAAGCCAAACAGUGUCCACAUUACUUGCAUGAUAAAUGUGAGUGGCAGUUAAAAAUCUAAGCAUCAAUGAAAGAACACAAACGUAUUAGGCUACGGUGUGGAACAUACUUGAUAUGCAAAGUUCAACUUGGACUAA